UUUCCGUAGGUGAACCUGCGGAAGGAUCAUUCAUAAUAAAGUGUUUUAUGGCACUUUUUAAAAAUCCAUAUCCACCUUGUGUGCAAUGUUAGAUCUCGUCAAUCUUGGCGAGAUUUUUAUACAUCAACUCAUUCUUCAACUAAUUUGUCUGAAAAAUAUUAUGAAUACUUAAUUCAAAAUACAACUUUCAACAACGGAUCUCUUGGCUCUC
rnacentral:misc_RNA from 1 species